rnacentral:rRNA from 1 species
UACGUAGGGGGCAAGCGUUGUCCGGAAUCAUUGGGCGUAAAGCGCGUGUAGGCGGCUCGAAAAGUCUGGUGUGAAAUCUUGGGGCUCAACCCUGAGCUGUCACUGGAUACUGUCGGGCUUGAGUCCGGAAGAGGAGUGUGGAAUUCCUGGUGUAGCGGUGGAAUGCGCAGAUAUCAGGAGGAACACCAAUGGCGAAGGCAGCACUCUGGUACGUGACUGACGCUGAGACGCGAAAGCGUGGGGAGCAAACAGG